rnacentral:rRNA from 1 species
CCUGCCCAAGAGAUCGGGAUAACACCUGGAAACAGAUGCUAAUACCGGAUAACAACAGAUGAUGCCUAUCAACUGUUUAAAAGAUGGUUCUGCUAUCACUCUUGGAUGGACCUGCGGUGCAUUAGCUAGUUGGUAGGGUAACGGCCUACCAAGGCGAUGAUGCAUAGCCGAGUUGAGAGACUGAUCGGCCACAUUGGGACUGAGACACGGCCCAAACUCCUACGGGAGGCAGCAGGU